GUUUUAUGAUACCUUAUUUUAUUUUUCUGGUGAAUUUGAAUUAGUUAAUAAUAUUAUAAUUAUAAAUAAUCGAAAUUUAAAUUUAAAUUCAAUAUAAUAUCUGUAUUAUAUGAUAUUAAUAUUGAGUUUUAAACUGAUAAAGUUUAAUUUAAGUAAUAUCUAUUUAACUUAAUAUUUCUAAGUUGAAUUAGAAAUAAUAAUUAUAUGCUAAUCAUUACGACCAUAUUUAUGAUUAAAUGAGUAAUAAUUAAGUAUAAAAUCAUCUAGCAUUAAAUUUAAUUAAUUUUACUAAACUAUAUAAAAGAAUGUUUAUCAAAAACAUUUUUUUAAAAUUUUAAAAUAAAUUCUGUUCCAUGAUAAUUUUAAAUAAUGGUUUUAAACUUGAUUACCUUAAGGUAGCAAAAUCCAUAGAUCUUUGAUAGAGACCUUGACUGAACGGAUAAACUUUUAAUAUACUAUAAUUAGUUAAAAAAAUGAAAUUAUAUUAAAUUUGAAAAUAAAUUUAUUAUUAUUACUACGAGAAGACCCUAAGAUUUUAAAAAUACAUUUAAAAAAUUUUAAUUUGGGACAUUAAUUUAUAUUAAUUAUCACUCUUCUAUGAAAUUAGUAAAAAUACCUUAGGGAUAACAGCUUUGAAUAAUAUAGUUAUUAUUAUAAAAUGACCUCGAUGUUGAAUUCACUAUAAUAAAUUUUCAAAAUAUUUUUAAAUAAGACUGUUCGUCUAAAUUUUGUGAUGAUUUGAGUUAAGAACAUUGAAAAAUAGUUUGGUUUCUAUAGAAUAUGCUAAUAAAUUUUUUGUUUUUUAGUACGAAAGGAUUUAAAAAUAUUUAAAAUUAAUAAAAUUUU
rnacentral:rRNA from 1 species